rnacentral:rRNA from 1 species
UUAUACCUACGGGGCGCAGCAGUGAGGAAUAUUGGUCAAUGGGCGCAAGCCUGAACCAGCCAAGUCGCGUGAGGGAUGACGGUCCCAUGGAUUGUAAACCUCUUUUGUCGGGGAGCAAGGCCCGCCACGUGUGGCGGGAAGGAGAGUACCCGAAGAAAAAGCAUCGGCUAACUCCGUGCCAGCAGCCGCGGUAAUACGGAGGAUGCGAGCGUUAUCCGGAUUUAUUGGGAUUAAAGGGUGCGUAGGCGGAAGGUUAAGUCAGCGGUCAAAUGUCGGUGCUCAACACCGGCCUGCCGGUUGACAUG